UCUCUGGUGGCUCAGUGGUAAAGAAUCUGCCUGCAAUGCAGGAGACCCAGGUUUGAUCCCUGGGUUGGGAA
rnacentral:tRNA from 1 species